rnacentral:snRNA from 1 species
GAGAGAGAGAUCAAAAUCAUGGU